rnacentral:lncRNA from 1 species
GUUUUGAAUGUUAUGUUGUUUGUUUUUACACCACGAUAAUAUUUUGUAUGUUGAUGCACUUGUAACGCUUUUUAUUUAAGAAAACAGUCCAUCAUAUAAGGGGUGUUACACCACUGUUUUCAACCAUCUAGAGUAGACUGUUUUAACCAUCUAGAGUAGACUGUUUCAACCAUCUAGAGUAGACUGUUUUAACCAUCUAGAGUAGACUGUUUUAACCAUCUAGAGUAGACUGUUUUCAACCAUCUAGAGUAGACUGUUUUAACCAUCUAGAGUAGACUGUUUCAACCAUCUAGAGUAGACUGUUUUAACCAUCUAGAGUAGACUGUUUUAACCAUCUAGAGUAGACUGUUUCAACCAUCUAGAGUAGACUGUUUUAACCAUCUAGAGUAGACUGUUUUAACCAUCUAGAGUAGACUGUUUUCAACCAUCUAGAGUAGACUGUUUUCAACCAUCUAGAGUAGACUGUUUUAACCAUCUAGAGUAGACUAGUUUCAACCAUCUAGAGUAGACUGUUUCAACCAUCUAUUGUAGACUGUUUAAACCAUCUAGAGUAGACUGUUUUCAACCAUCUAGAGUAGACUGUUUUCAACCAUCUAGAGUAGACUGUUUCAACCAUCUAGAGUAGACUGUUUCAACCAUCUAGAGUAGACUGUUUUCAACCAUCUAGAGUAGACUGUUUUCAACCAUCUCGACUCAGACACUUCCUAGUACAUCGUUCAUGUUAUACCACCACCUAGAGAAUAGACGUUAGCUCUGUGUCCAUCUCCUCCAUUAUGGGCGUUUUAACCCAAAAGACAAUGAGAGAGGGAGGGAAGUAAACCCAAGAGCAAAGCACAGAAUGAAGAAACAGAGGCAGUAUGUGUACUGUAGUCAGCACCAAGGCUACGUCGCUAGCUAGCUAGCUGUAAUCCCAGGGGCUGUUUGCUGUUGGUGAUGGUUCGUGUUAGCGAUGAGGCAGGGGUGUACAGAGAUGUAAUGGGUUGAGGGAGAUAGCCAUGUCUCCAAAAACCUAAGGUGAGUGUUCUGAAAGCUUUAUGGCUAACGUGGUACUUCAUUUCUCUCGACAACCCAGACUCAAGCCAUAUGUAGAACAUCAAACAUUGAUUUUGCAAUUGGUGCUCUCAUGGUUCAGUUGUCAAGAUAGACAAAGUGCCACGUUAGCCAUGAAGGUUCUGGGAAACUCUGAGUUCUGAGGUGUGUGGCAGGAAGUGAGAAAGGCUAAGGACAGCAGGUGAGGCAGGCUAAGAACAGGUGGUGUCUAGAUGCCUUAAGACGGUGUUUCAAAAGGGGUGUGUAUCAGUUUUAUGGUGUGACGUGACUGAAGAGGUUUUUAGUCGAUCAGACAGACAGUUGGUUUGGGUCGAGACGGGGCUGGUGUGAGAAUGAAAACCACUGACUAAAGGGUUACUGACUCAGUCUUUGGUCGGAUGACAGAACUCACCUCCUUGACGUAGACUCAAACCAACAUGUCUGAACAUCAUCAAGCCAACCAACAUUCGCACACAACCUCUCUCUCUAGGAGAGGUCCACCUCUCUCUCUAGGAGAGGUCUAUCUCUCUCUCUAAGAGAGGUCCAUCUCUCUCUCUAGGAGAGGUCCAUCUCUCUCUCUAGGAGAGGUCCAUCUCUCUCUCUAGGAAAAGUCCAUCAACUAAUAUUUGUUUUCUUUAACCAUAUGUGUAGAGCUGUGUUCAGAGGAGAGGAGUGACGGAAAGGAAAAUAAAGAUGAAUUUACUACUCUGUGAUUUGUGAUUUCUGUCUGUGUGUCUGUGUCCUGAUG